rnacentral:piRNA from 1 species
UGUGAUGCCCUAUUCAGGAACCUCUCCUGU